rnacentral:lncRNA from 1 species
AAUUACCAUUAGCAGUUGAAGUGGUAGGAAAUUUUUACAUAGGAGAGUAUGGUGAUCAUAUUUGCAUUUUAGAAAAUAAUGGAUAGCAGUUUGUUAGGGGAACAAAGGACAGAGACAGGGAGACUAUUUAAAACAUUAAUAAAAAAUACCAGUGACAGAUGAUGAGGCACCUACCUGAUGGGAAUGGAGAAGAGGAGAUGGAUUCAGAAACUACUUAGGAGAGUCUCGCUCAGUUUCCAGGCUGGAGUGUAAUGGCGUGAUCUUGGCUCACUGCAACCUCUGCCUCCCAGCUUCAAGUGAUUCCCCUGCUUUAGCCUCCCAAGCAGCUGGGACUACAGGCAUGCACCAGCAUGGCCGGCUAAUUUUUUUUUGUAUUUUAGUACAGAUGGGGUUUAACCAUGUUGGCCAGGAUGAUCUUGAUCUCCUGACCUCGUGAUCUGCCCACCUCGGCCUCCCAAAGUGCUAGGAUUACAGGCGUGAGCCACCUUGCCCGGCCUUCUAUUCCUUUUUCUAAUGCAUUUGCCCCAGCUAUCUGUAUAGCCUGCAAUCUGGUAGAUGGACCACAGGGAAACCACUGCAGCAAACUAAAAGUGUCUAUCUCAGAUCCUUCCACCACCAUCAUUUCCAAAAUCACCGUCACUAUCUCCACCACCAUCACCUUUACCACCAUCACCACUAUCAUCCUCAUCCUUCCCAUCACCAUCUCCACUGCUAUCUCUCAACACCAUCAUCAUCACCACCACCACCAUCAUCACCAUGAGCACCACCUCUGUCGUCAUCAAAAAAGCACACAGUUCAGGCUGGCCUGUUGGAGGAUAACAGAUCAUGUGGAGCAGAGACGAGCUGGCCCACCUCAGGCCCUACCAGAGCAAUCAGCUUGCCAAACACGACAUACAUCAGCGAGGCCAUCCUAGACCAUCCAGCCCUAGCUGAGCCAGCCCAGACCAGAGACUCAUGAGAAACAGUAAAAUGUUCAUCAUUUUAAGCCACUAGAUUUUGUGGUGGUUUGUUAUACACCAAAAGCUAACUGAUACAGGGACCA